rnacentral:rRNA from 1 species
AUUGAACGCUGGCGGCAGGCCUAACACAUGCAAGUCGAGCGGAUGAAGGGAGCUUGCUCCUGGAUUCAGCGGCGGACGGGUGAGUAAUGCCUAGGAAUCUGCCUGGUAGUGGGGGAUAACGUCCGGAAACGGGCGCUAAUACCGCAUACGUCCUGAGGGAGAAAGUGGGGGAUCUUCGGACCUCACGCUAUCAGAUGAGCCUAGGUCGGAUUAGCUGGUUGGUGGGGUAAAGGCCUACCAAGGCGACGAUCCGUAACUGGUCUGAGAGGAUGAUCAGUCACACUGGAACUGAGACACGGUCCAGACUCCUACGGGAGGCAGCAGUGGGGAAUAUUGGACAAUGGGCGAAAGCCUGAUACAGCCAUGCCGCGUGUGUGAAGAAGGUCUUCGGAUUGUAAAGCACUUUAAGUUGGGAGGAAGGGCAGUAAGUUAAUACCUUGCUGUUUUGACGUUACCAACAGAAUAAGCACCGGCUAACUUCGUG